UUAAUACUGUCUCAUCAUAAACCAUCAAAACUCUUCAUUGUGUGUUGCGGCAGGUAAUGUGAUUAUUCUCUUUAUUCCAUUUUGUGUUUUUGCAGCCAGUCCUGUUAAAGCUCUUUGUUACUUAUCAAUGAAUUCAACCUUUCAGCUCAUGUCAUACUUCCUAUAAACAUUGUUAAGUGCCAAAUAUAGCCAAAGACGUUAUUUUAAAUAAUUCACAACAUUUCUGCCUCACAGGAAACAUAAACCUGAAGCGCUUUGAAGCUCGGAGCUUCACAAAUCAUUUAAUGUGGAUCUCUUGGCAAAAUGAUGACGCAUGCUAGUUUAGAGGAGCGUUGUGCAUGUGCGGGGGACACACUAGGUGUGGUGUUCUCUUCUCUUAGAGUGUAUUGUUGCUUUCACUUCCUAGAGGAGGAGGUGAUUAACGGAAGAGUUGGUGACUAAUUUGGGAAAAAAUUUUGUGGUUUGGUUCCGGACUGCAGCCUUGUGACUGGGACUACGGAUGCUCUUCAUUUUCCCUUUCAGGGAGAGACACCACAUGGACUCAUGUCAUGGGACAAUUCAACAUGGCUGCCACCAUCCCUGCUUACUAGCCUGCAAUUUUCUAAUCAUAGUGACCUUUUUCAGCCUUGCAAUGCUUUCUGAUCUCCUUGACGGCAGGGACAUGGAUAGUGGAUAGGAAAGGCCUUUUAAAAACAGGGGGUUUGUUUAUACCCACAGUUAAUCAUGUGGGAGGAAAUGAGAAAAUAAAAGCACUUCUGAUUUGAAGGUGAAAGGCGUCUUCCUCUGCUCGCUUGGAGAUGUGUAACCAGUAUCUCAAAGAUCCAAUUAUUUGAUCAUAUGCAAAUAACAAUGACCAGCAGAGGUUUUGUUGAAUGCGUCUGCUCUAAUGUUUGCAACAUGGCUGCCUCCUGCUCUCAAAAAAUCCUUUUUCCAUCAGUGCCAGCGAGCAAGAUUCAAGCUUACAAUGAGUAUGUCAAACCUUGCAACAUAGGCUCUAUGCUGACAGAGUGGCAGGCACCCACUUCCUUCUGCUACUUGCCUUCCUCUGGUCACACCUUCUUUGUAAAAUUGCGGUUCUCUUUACAAGAAAUUGUUACCAAAGACGAGGACAAAAAAACGAUCACAUGCCCUGAGCAGCUGAUCUCUGUUUCCUGUAUCUGUGUGUCAGCCAAAAAUACUGCCUUAUACAGAAACACUGAGAAAGAGGCCCCAGCAAACCAGUUCAAGGACUGAAGGCUUUGUCUUCAGACUGAGCAUAAAGCUGACAGGAACAGAGUCAGAACUUUGGCUGGAGUUCAAGCUGACCUCGUUGCUCUGUGCAAAUAUCUGCCACUAGAUGGCGAUGGAGACCAUUGCACAGACUGGAUGGAUACUGUAAAAAAGAAGCCCAGAGGGUCUUGUACAGUAAAGAGAACCCUUGUGGAACAAUUCACUGUGAGGCUUUUUGUUUUUGCUUUUCGUGCACCUUUGAUGAUGGUGCAGUCCAAAGUGAAGAAUGGAGUAGAUUUUGAGUGAAAUCACAGCAGCACCUUUCUGUUUAAUGAGUGAUAUAUUGGUCUGAAUGAUUAAAGAAUGUAUUGUAAGUCAA